rnacentral:rRNA from 1 species
AAUGAACGCUGGCGGCGUGCUUAACACAUGCAAGUCGUGCGCGAAGGUGGCUUCGGCUGCCGGAGAGCGGCGAACGGGUGAGUAACACGUGGGCAAUCUGCCUGGGGGUGUGGGAUAACCUGGGGAAACUCGGGCUAAUACCGCAUACGUUGCCGGGACCUUGGUCCUGUCAAGAAAGCUGGCCUCUGUUUACAAGCUAG